rnacentral:rRNA from 1 species
UACGGGGGGGGCAAGCGUUGUUCGGAAUUACUGGGCGUAAAGGGCUCGUAGGCGGCCAACUAAGUCAGACGUGAAAUCCCUCGGCUUAACCGGGGAACUGCGUCUGAUACUGGAUGGCUUGAGUUUGGGAGAGGGAUGCGGAAUUCCAGGUGUAGCGGUGAAAUGCGUAGAUAUCUGGAGGAACACCGGUGGCGAAGGCGGCGAUCCUGGACCGG